GGUUGCGUAGCUCAGCUGAAUAGAGCAUCUGCCUUCUAAGCAGAGGGUCCCAGGUUUGAGUCCUGGCGCGAUCA
rnacentral:tRNA from 1 species